rnacentral:rRNA from 1 species
UGGGGAAUAUUGCACAAUGGGCGCAAGCCUGAUGCAGCCAUGCCGCGUGUAUGAAGAAGGCCUUCGGGUUGUAAAGUACUUUCAGUCGGGAGGAAGGUGUCAAGGUUAAUAACCUUGGCAAUUGACGUUACCGACAGAAGAAGCACCGGCUAACUCCGUGCCAGCAGCCGCGGUAAUACGGAGGGUGCAAGCGUUAAUCGGAAUUACUGGGCGUAAAGCGCACGCAGGCGGUUGAUUGAGUCAGAUGUGAAAUCCCCGGGCUUAACCCGGGAAUUGCAUCUGAUACUGGUCAGCUAGAGUCUUGUAGAGGGGGGUAGAAGUCCAUGUGUAGCGGUGAAAUGCGUAGAGAUGUGGAGGAAUACCGGUGGCGAAGGCGGCCCCCUGGACAAAGACUGACGCUCAGGUGCGAAAGCGUGGGGAGCAAACAGG